ACAGCUCGUUACAAAAGAAACAGCUAUUUAAUUAGGAUUGGACUUUCUGAUGAGCGACAAGAGGGUCGAUGGGAAUGGGUGGAUGGAACAAAAAAUGUUUACAUACAAUGGGGCAGCAAUGAACCUAGCGGCGGAACGAGUCAAAACUGUGUUGCCCUUUGUCUGUGUUCGGAUGCCUGGGUUGAUAUAGAUUGUUCUCUUCCGAUUCCUUUCAUAUGCAAAAAGGUCAUUCCGAUAAAUAAUUGUGAAAAUAAAACAUUGAACGAUUGUCAACAAAUAUGUAUUGAUACCUACGAGAGUUACAGAUGCGAGUGUGAGGGAGGCUACCUGUAUCAGUUAAUAGACGG